CAAGACAGUAAACAGAAAGCACAUUCAGUUCCCCUUUCCGUGAUCUACAGUAUGGGCAUAAAUAGACUGUCAUGUGUAUCCAAAUUAAGAUGAUGGCAGCCAGGAGAAAGAUUGAAGAAAGAGAAGUGGCUGGCUGGCAAUACUGCUAAUGUGGAAAAUCUCUUCAUUGUUGUGUGGCAUGCUUCAUCUCAGAAGAGCAGGAAAAGGUGGCAGGCAGAGAGGGAGAAAUAACAAGAAUGGAAGAGUCGUUCUUCCAAAAAGGCCCAUCUGUGACCCUGAGAGAUAAACCUGGCAGACCAGGGCUCACAUCUUAGUAAAUCACCUGUAAAUAAAGCUUCAAGGGCAGUGACUGGAAGCUGGGAGAGAGGCUCAACAGCUGAAUCUCACCCUGAUGGAGGCCACCAUUUAAUAAGUAAAUACAUGCACACUAUUUAGAUCCUGCAUCAGACAGCUUCCUCAGACAGGUCAUCAGAAAACAUGAAGAUAAAUGCAGUAAAGAAUUACUCUCUUGAACCCUUGAACAUAUCAUUUUCUUAUAGAAAUG
rnacentral:lncRNA from 1 species